rnacentral:rRNA from 1 species
GUUGAACGCUGGCGGCAGGCCUAACACAUGCAAGUCGAGCGGAUGAAGGGAGCUUGCUCCUGGAUUCAGCGGCGGACGGGUGAGUAAUGCCUAGGAAUCUGCCUGGUAGUGGGGGAUAACGUCCGGAAACGGGCGCUAAUACCGCAUACGUCCUGAGGGAGAAAGUGGGGGAUCUUCGGACCUCACGCUAUCAGAUGAGCCUAGGUCGGGUUAGCUAGUUGGUGGGGUAAGGGCCUACCAAGGCGACGAUCCGUAACUGGUCUGAGAGGAUGAUCAGUCACACUGGAACUGAGACACGGUCCAGACUCCUACGGGAGGCAGCAGUGGGGAAUAUUGGACAAUGGGCGAAAGCCUGAUCCAGCCAUGCCGCGUGUGUGAAGAAGGUCUUCGGAUUGUAAAGCCCUUUAAGUUGGGAGGAAGGGCAGUAAGUUAAUACCUUGCUGUUUUGACGGUACCAACAGAAUAAGCACCGGCUAACUUCGUG